UACGAAGGGUGCAAGCGUUCUUCGGAAUUACUGGGCGUAAAGGGUGCGUAGGCGGUUCGUUAAGUCUGUCGUGAAAUCCCCGGGCUCAACCUGGGAAUGGCGAUGGAUACUGGCGAGCUAGAGUGUGUCAGAGGAUGGUGGAAUUCCCGGUGUAGCGGUGAAAUGCGUAGAGAUCGGGAGGAACAUCAGUGGCGAAGGCGGCCAUCUGGGACAACACUGACGCUGAAGCACGAAAGCGUGGGGAGCAAACAGG
rnacentral:rRNA from 1 species